AUCACAAUUCAGCCUUUUUAAAAUCAUGUAGCAAGCUGCCAUGGCAGAAUCUAGAGAUUACGUUGGAAACUUCCUGACAGAAUUUAAGGAGCAGAUAAUUACGAGGGCGACUCGGGUCAGUGACAUUGCUGAGGAUGUUAUCUCCCAAAGUCUGAUUCAUGAUGCGGCAGCUCAACAAGUGCAGGCUGCUCCAAGCAAUCAGGAGGCAAUGCAGCUCUUGUUUAAGGCUUUGGAAAGACAGCCACCCCUAAACAGAGUGUCCUUCCAUCUCAUCCUGAGAAUGACAGAGCCUGAACUGAUUCAAGAAUUAGAAUGGAGACAACGCAACAGCAAGCACACGCAAACAGAGAGAAGCAGUCCUCCCAGAGAAAAAAGAAAACAGGAUGACAAGAAUGGGCAUACGAGUGACAUCCAGAAGAGAAAAGACUUUCUAAAAAGGCGUAGACAGAAAACAAUGCGUGCCAUUGAGCAGAUCGAGAAACUUUGGGAAGGAACUAAGCAAGAAAGGACUGAGAUAGACAACAUGAGGCAGAGGAUUCAGCAACAGCGAGACGAGAUAGCCAGGAUGACCACAGAGAAAAGACAACUUGAGAGAACUAUUACUCACAUGAAAGCCAAGAUGGACCACAUCAGUGAAAGAAUGGAUCGGAAUAAAGAAGAGGUAAAUAGAGAGAGGGAGAGGAUUGAGCAGAUGAGAUCUGACCUCCAAACUGAGCAAACCACCCUGGAGCUAAAGCGUGAUGAAAUCAUGAGAGAGAGACAGAACUUGGAGAUGAUCAGAUAUGAGACUCUGAGACAGAAGGAGGAGCUGGAGAGCAACCGUGAAAGCACAAAGUACGAGAUGGAACGAAUGGAACAAAUGAAAAGUACCAUACAAGUUCAGAUCAAUGAGAUAGAGAUGAAGAUUGAGGAAACACAGAAAACAAAGUGUCAGAUGGAGCAGAUGAAAGCUGAAAUAGAGGAGGAAAAAGCCGAGUUGGAGAGAAAGAAGGAAGACAUCAAGAGGCAAAGAGACCAAUUUGAGCAGAUUAAAGCUGACAUACAGCAAGUAAAGAUGGAAAUGGAACAAAGGUGGCAUGAAACAGAGAAAGAAGGGCUGGAACGGAGAGCUAUAAUUCAGAGAGAGAAAGAUGAGCUGAAAUACCUGCAAGAUGAGAUUCAAAGAGCAAGAGAAGAGGUGGAAAGGAACACAGCAUUUUCAAAACAAGAGAAUGAGAGAAUAAACCAACUGAAAGCUCAAGCACUCACAGAAAACAACCUCAUUGAAAAGAAAUUGCAAGAUGUCUUAAGAAAAGAAAAAGACCUGGAAGAGAUUAAACAUGAAAUUGAGAGAGGUCGAGAGGAGUUGAUGAUGAAUGGAGAGCUGGUCAAAAAGGAAUGGGAACAAAUCGAACAGGCCAAAGUGGACAUACAAAAUCACAAGAUAUCUAUGGAGGCCAGAGUUGAGGAAAUAAAAACAGAAACUGUUAGGCUGAAACAUAUGAAAAUAGAGAUGCAGAAAGAUAAAGAUAUUUUAGAAAAACAGAAGGAAGACAUACAGAAAGCUAAAGAAGAAAUGGAGAAGAAGAGGUAUGAGAUAGUGAAAGAGGAGUUAGAGCACAGAGCUCGACUGCAGAGGGAGAGAGACGAGCUGGAGAGUGUAAGAGUAGAGAUACAAAGGGCUAAUGAUAUGGAGAAAGCAAAGAUACUGAAAGAGAAGGAAGAAAGUGUUAAGAUAAGAAAAGAAGCCAGACAAGAAAGAGAAAUUACAGAACGGAUCAAAGCAGAGAACAAGGCCGAAAAAGACAGCUUGAACCGAAGACAAGAGGACAUGCUGAGGGAGAGACAACAGCUAGAAAGAAUUAAACAUGAGAUGGACAGAGCCAAAGAGGAGAUUGAGAACAGCCAAGAAGUCACAAUCCGGGAAAAUGAGAAAAUGGAAAAAAUGAAGGCUGAUAUUCAAGGACAAAUUGAAGAUAUUGAGAAGAAGGUUGAGGAGAUCCAAAAAACAAAAGAAAAAAUGGAGGAGACAAAGGCUGAGUUGGAGGAAGAGCGGGAGGAGCUGGAAACAAAAAGAGAAUUGGUGAGAAUAGAGACUGAACAGUGUGAGUUCCUCAGAAGUGAAAUCAUCAGGGUGAAGGAGGAAAUGGAGAGCAGGUGGCAUGAAACGGAGAAAGAGAAGGUCGAACUCAGAGCAAAAACUCAGCAUGAGCUGGAAAGACUGGAAAAAUUAAAGGACGAGGUCCAAAUAUCCAAGAAAAACACUGAGGAGAGCAUGAAUGAGCUCAUGCAAUGGAAGGAUAGUCUUGAAAAAAUGAGGGUUCAGGCAGAAGAAGACAAACUUGCCGCUAUCAAACAGAUGGAUGAGGCUAAAGCAAAGNACACAAAAAAACAGAGGAGUUAGAACAAAUAAAUGAAGAGAUACAAAGAGCCA
ensembl:lncRNA